rnacentral:lncRNA from 1 species
CAUCACCUAUCUUCUUCUUCCACUCCAUCAUAUUCAUAAAAUUACUAAAUCACACUCCACCAUCUUCAAACGAUAGCCACACCAUAAAGAAAAAACAGAAAAAGUAAGAAACGAGAUUUAACCGUGGCGUCACUACCCAUCAUCCAAAACGCAACUCUUCGACGACCAUAUUUUUCUCGCUAGAAAAAACACUAUUACACACCUC